rfam:Pan troglodytes isolate Yerkes chimp pedigree #C0471 (Clint) chromosome 7, whole genome shotgun sequence.
GCUUGGCAUGGUGGUGCAUGCCUGUAGUCCCUGCUACUUAGGAGGCUGAGGUGGGAGGAUUGCUCGAGCCCAGGAGGUCAAGGCUGCAGUGAGUGAGCCAUGAUGAUGCCACUGCACUGCAUUCUAGCCUGGGCCACAGAGCAAGACCCUGUCUCAA